GGAGUCUGGGCCGUGUCUCAGUCCCAAUGUGGCCGGUCACCCUCUCAGGCCGGCUACGGAUCGUCGCUUUGGUGGGCCGUUACCCCGCCAACUGGCUAAUCCGACGCGGAGCCAUCCUUAUCCGAUAAAAUCUUUCCUUCCCCCUUCAUGCGAAGAAGGAAGCGUAUGCGGUAUUGUCAACCGUUUCCAGUUGUUAUCCCCCUGAUAAGGGCAGGUUCUCCACGCGUUACUCACCCAUCCGCCACUCGGUUGAAAAACUCUUCGACGAAUCUCCAAGUAAGACAACCUCGUUCGACUUGCAUGUGUUAGGCACGCCGCCAGCGUUCAUC
rnacentral:rRNA from 1 species